AACACACAGCAGCUACACAAUUCUGUCUAUAAAAUAUACUUGCUAAUAGUAGAACAUAAAUUUAUUCAAACCCCUAGAUUUAACUAUCAGUUUUCAAGAAAUGCAGAAGAAAAGGAACAUGUUAUCUGGUACCAUGGAAUCCAGGCCACAAAAUCCAAAAGUUAAGACAUUCUAUAAAAUAGAUGACUAAAUUUCUUCCACAAAUAAAUGAUGUGAGAAAAAAAAAAAGGAAGAGGGGCGAUAUUAAGACCAGUAAAAAAUUAAGCUAAUGAACAGAUUAAGAUCUAUUAAUGUUUAAGAGACAUUCUCUCCAAGCGUAAUAUGCGGACUUUGGUUCUUGAUUUGAGCAAAGCAGCCUUUGUAAAAGGCUUUGAGGCAAUCAAGGAAAACUGAAUACUAAUGUUAAGGAAUCACUGAUAAUUUUAAAGUGUAAUAACGGUGGUGUUGUAAUGUUUUAAAGUGAGCUUAGUCUCUAUUAGGAAUACAAACUGAUUAUUUACAAAUAAAAUGAUAAAAUAUCUGAGAUUUGUUUUAAAAUAUUCUGGCUUGGAUGGAAAAUGUGGCUAGGGAGAAAAAAGUGUUUGGGGAGUAUAAAUGAAAUAAGGUUGGCUAUAUUUUAGUAAUGAGUAAGUCUGGAUAAUGAAGACAUGGAGAUUUAUUAUAUUAUUGUAACUACUUUCAGGUAACUGAAGGUUUUCUUAACAGGUAGGCAAAAAGCAUUUAGAAAGUAAAAGCGAGAAGUACAUACUGAGAGACAGUAUGUCUAUAUCCUCACUAUUACUUGCUUUUGAAAAUAAAAUAAAUUCACUAAUAGAAAUAUCCAAUCAUGACGUUUGUAAGAUAUUGACUAUGAAUGUGAGGGGUACCUGAGUCACUCAGUCAGUUAAGCAUCUGACAUUUGCUUUUGGCUCAGGUCAUGAUUUCAUGGGUCCUGGGAUCAAGCCCCACAUUGGGCUCCACGCUCAGUAGGGAUUUUGCUUGAGGAUUCUUUCCCUCCACUACUCAUGCACACUCUCCUCCUCUAUAAUAAAUAAAUCUUCAAAAAUAUAUAUGAAUGUUGUAGGUAAUGGUGUGCUGGUAAAUGACUAUCUGAAGAAGAAAGCCCUGAUGUGUAGUGUUUGCCAGCUGGCAUGGUCUAAAUAUUCCCACCAUGGCAGAUUUCAAGCUACUGAUGUGACCUCACCAAAUGUGGAGUUGGGAAGAGGUGUGCACCCCCAGCUCUCACAAGUCUGUGUGGCCAGCCCUAGCCUGAGACUGAGAAAGCUGACAGGGGAAUGUUAAUUUCUGCAGAUUCUUGGUCAGACCCCAAUUUUAACAGGCACCUUGAUUAGCUUACUUAGUUUUUCUGAGGCUAACUUACCCCUCCGUAAAAUGGAGAUAGUAAUUCCUACUACGUGAAUAUAUAAGGCUUAAAUUAUAUCAUACAUGUAAUGAACCUAGUCUGGUUCUGGUCACACAGUGAGUGAUCCUUCAUGCUAAUAUCCUUUCUUCUCUCCAAGUUAAAAUAGAAAAAAGAACACUGGCUUUGGGAUGGUCUCAAAGUUUCAAAGGAAAGGAAUGAAGCUGAUCAUCUUUUUAGAGGGCUUCCUGCCCAGAAUUUCUAUAAUUACUUAAAAUUGCAGGUUUUAGGGGCUGUCACAAACCUGCCAGAAGCUCACCAAGCUCUAAUUUGGUUGGAUAUUAAUAGGUAGGCUGGGAAGUUAAUGUGAUAUGAUUGUGGCUAGAAUAGAACCAUCUGUUAAAGGUAGUGGUUUCUGUCCAAUGUGAUCUGGCACGGCAAAUACACAGUUAGAAUUAAGUGUUAUCUUAGAGUUGACAUGGAAAAAAAAAA